GUCUUUUUUGGAGACAUCCAAUAAAAUUGGAACGAUACGGAGAAGAUUAGCAUGGUUCUUGUGCAAGGAUGACAAGUGCAAAUAGAGAAAUGGUCCAAACCACU